rnacentral:rRNA from 1 species
GACGAACCGUGCGAACGUUGUUCGGAAUCACUGGGCUUAAAGGGCGCGUAGGCGGGCGGUCAAGUCAGAGGUGAAAUCCCACGGCUCAACCGUGGAAGUGCCCCUGAUACUGAUCGUCUCGAGGGAGGUAGGGGCGUGCGGAACUUCCGGUGGAGCGGUGAAAUGCGUAGAUAUCGGAAGGAACACCGAUGGCGAAAGCAGCGCGCUGGACCUUUACUGACGCUGAGGCGCGAAAGCCAGGGGAGCAAACGGG